UACGAAGGGGGCUAGCGUUGCUCGGAAUCACUGGGCGUAAAGCGCACGUAGGCGGAUUGCUAAGUCAGGGGUGAAAUCCUGGAGCUCAACUCCAGAACUGCCUUUGAUACUGGCGAUCUUGAGUCCGGGAGAGGUGAGUGGAACUGCGAGUGUAGAGGUGAAAUUCGUAGAUAUUCGGCAAGAACACCGGUGGCGAAGGCGGCUAAUCUGGCCCGUAAUUGACGCUGAGGCGGCGAAAGCGUGGGGAGCAAACGGG
rnacentral:rRNA from 1 species